CGUCGCGUCGGGCGCCUUAAGAGCGUCGCGUCGGGCGCCUUGCUUGGCUGAUAAGCCAAUGGUGCGAAGCUACCAUCUGAGGGAUUAUGACUGAACGCCUCUAAGUCAGAAUCCCGCCUGGAAAGCGACG
rnacentral:ncRNA from 1 species